rnacentral:misc_RNA from 1 species
AAGUCGUAACAAGGUUUCCGUAGGUGAACCUGCGGAAGGAUCAUUACCUUUCUGGCUAUUUAAUAGCUUGUCUGGGGGCUGCAGGUUUCUGCAGUUUCUGACUACAUCCGUGUUUUUGCGUACUACAUCGUUUCCUCGGCCUGGGCUUUGCUUGCCGGUUGGACAAACUAAAACUCUUUGCAAUUGCAAUCAGCGUCUGAAUUAAUAUAAAUAAUUACAA